rnacentral:rRNA from 1 species
UAGGGAAUCUUCGGCAAUGGACGAAAGUCUGACCGAGCAACGCCGCGUGAGUGAAGAAGGUUUUCUGAUCGUAAAACUCUGUUGUUAGAGAAGAACAAGGACGUUAGUAACUGAACGUCCCCUGACGGUAUCUAACCAGAAAGCCACGGCUAACUACGUGCCAGCAGCCGCGGUAAUACGUAUGUGGCAAGCGUUGUCCGGAUUUAUUGGGCGUAAAGCGAGCGCAGGCGGUUUCUUAAGUCUGAUGUGAAAGCCCCCGGCUCAACCGGGGAGGGUCAUUGGAAACUGGGAGACUUGAGUGCAGAAGAGGAGAGUGGAAUUCCAGGUGUAGCGGUGAAAUGCGUAGAGAUAUGGAGGAACACCAGUGGCGAAGGCGGCUCUCUGGUCUGUAACUGACGCUGAGGCUCGAAAGCGUGGGGAGCAAACAGG